rnacentral:snoRNA from 1 species
UGCCUCUUGGUGCUUACCACAGGCAGUGUUCUUACACUGACUAUAUAGAAAAAGGAGGUACCACCCCCCCACUGCUAAAUUUGACUGGCUUAAAAAAAAAAAAAAAAAAGAAAAAG